AUGGUGAUCUCCGCUGACUGUGUGACCUUGGGAAUCCCUCCUCCAAGUCUCCCGGAGGACUGGGAUUUCAGAGAAACACGACUACACAAGAUGGCACUAGAUACUGGGUCUCAUGUGGCCAGGACUGAAGCUCAUCUUCCCCUUCAGCAUGCCGCAGAACACCAGGAGCGGACUAGCAUGGGAACCACUGUUUCAGACGAGCCUCCCAGGCCUCACCAACCUCAGACUCAGGUCUGUGGAGUCAUUGCUCACAGGGAGGAUGUGACCAGAGCCUUCCAGGUCAUGACAGCCAAGGCUGUUUGUGGAGCCCUCUGAAACAAUGCUGUGAGCAGCCCACCCCUCAUCCUGAGCACCUCUGGUAUGUAGAGCCCUCUGCAAUGCAGAUGUGAGCAGAGCACACAGGUCCUGACCAGGGAGUG
rnacentral:lncRNA from 1 species